rnacentral:rRNA from 1 species
GAAAAAUUGCAAAAUCCUUAAAACAUUGUGACGUUACCUAAACCGUUGCUUCGGCGGGCGGCCCCGGGGUCAUCCCCGGGCGCCCCUGGGCCCCAUCGCGGGCGCCCGCCGGAGGUCACCAAACUCUUGAUAAUUUAUGGCCUCUCUGAGUCUUCUGUACUGAAUAAGUCAAAACUUUCAACAACGGAUCUCUUGGUUCUGGCAUCGAUGAAGAACGCAGCGAAAUGCGAUAAGUAAUGUGAAUUGCAGAAUUCAGUGAAUCAUCGAAUCUUUGAACGCACAUUGCGCCCGCCAGUAUUCUGGCGGGCAUGCCUGUUCGAGCGUCAUUUCAACCAUCAAGCCCCCGGCUUGUGUUGGGGACCUGCGGCUGCCGCAGGCCCAGAAAAGCAGUGGCGGGCUCGCUGUCACACCGAGCGUAGUAGCAUACAUCUCGCUCUGGGCGUGCUGCGGGUUCCGGCCGUUAUACCACCUUCAUAACCCAAGGUUGACCUCGGGAUCAGGUAGGAAGACCCGCUGAACUUAAGCAUAUCAAUAAGCGGAAGGAAUUU